rnacentral:rRNA from 1 species
AUGGCGUGCCACGACUCUCUCCGGCGCUUCGGCGCCAGCUGCCUCGUCGCCGUGCUGUUUCUCUGGCUCUGCGCCACCUUCGUCUGCAGCGCCAGGGAGCAGCGGCCGCUGCGGGAGCUGGAGGAGCAGGUGGUGGUGAGGAACUACGGCCCGUACGCUUCCUUCGACCGGAGCGACUCGGCCACACUGCAGGUGCUCAAGGACGCCAGCAUCAACGGUGGCGCGCUCCAGCUCACGCCGGACACCCGCAACAACGACGCCUACCUCGUCAACAAGUCCGGCUCCGUCCUCCUCAAGCAGCCCUUCACGAUCUGGCACACUCUCCCCGACGAUGACAUCGAGAUCCCCGGUGGCGGCAACGGCACCGGCACCGGCCGUGCGCCGCAGCCGCAGGCUCCGCGUGUCCGUAUCGUGUCGUUCAACAGCACCUUCUCCAUGAACGUGUUCUACGACAAGGCGGUCCCCGGCGAGGGCCUGGCGUUUGUCAUCGCGCCCUCGCUCGACAAGCCGCCUCCCGGCAGCCACGGCGGCUUCCUCGGCCUCACCAACGCGACGCUGCAGGCCGCCGGACCGUCCAAGAACCGUUUCGUGGCGAUCGAGUUCGACACCUUCAACCAGAGCCACGACCCGAGCGAUAACCACGUCGGCCUCGACAUCGGCAGCGUCGUGUCCAACGCUACGGCCAACCUCGCCGAUUUCAACAUCACCAUCGCCACGAACGCCCAGACGUCUGCCAACUACACCGUCUGGAUCGAGUACAACGGCGUGGGCCGGCGUGUCACGGUGUACAUGGGCGGCAAGGGGAAACCGAAGCCGGCGAUCCCCGUCCUGAUCAGCCCGCUGGACCUCAGCGAGCACGUCCCCGAGCAGGCGUACAUCGGCUUCUCGGCUUCCACCGGCACCACCUUCGAGCUCAACUGUAUCCUGGACUGGAGCAUGUCAAUCGAGACCUUCCCCAAGAAGGAGAAGAAGGAGUGGAUAAUCCUCGUCGCCGUCUUCGGGUCCAUCGCGGUGGUCGCCAUCGCCAUUGCCGCCUUCUUCCUGGUCAGAAUGUCGCGGGCGAGGCGGAAGAUACAGAGGAGCCAGACGCGGCUGGGGCACACGCUGAGUCACCUCCCGGGGAUGCCGAGGGAGUUCUCGUACGAGAUGCUGAGGAAGGCGACCAAGAACUUCGACGAGCUACUGCGGCUGGGGAAAGGAGGGUACGGCGUCGUGUACAAGGGGACGCUCCCUGCCGAGCACGGCCAGACGGAGGCGACGGACGUGGCCGUGAAGAAGUUCGUCCGGGAUGAUGCCAGGUGCGUCGAGGACUUCGUCAAGGAGGUGGACAUCAUCAACCGCCUUCGCCACAAAAACAUCGUGCCCCUCAUUGGUUGGUGUUACAAGAAAGGGCAACUGCUGCUCGUGUACGAGUACAUGCCCAACGGCAGCCUCGACCAGCACCUCUUCCGGCGCGGGGGCGCCCAGGAGCAGCGGGCGGCGCCGCUCAGCUGGGCGAGCCGCUACGGCAUCGUCGCCGACGUCGCCUCGGGCCUGCACUACGUGCACCACGAGUACGGCCGCACGGUGCUCCACCGCGACAUCAAGGCCAGCAACGUCAUGCUGGACGCGUCCUUCUCCGCCCGCCUCGGGGACUUCGGCCUCGCCCGCGUCAUCGACUUCGACCGGAGCUCCUUCACCGACAUCGGCGUCGCCGGCACGCGCGGGUACAUCGCGCCGGAGUACUCCGUGGGGCACAAGGCCACGAGCCAGACGGACGUGUUCGCCUUCGGCGCGCUCGUGCUGGAGGUCGUCACGGGCCGCACCGCGCUGCGCGACGACGCGAGCUGCCCGCUGCUGGUGGACUUCGUGUGGCGGAUGCACGGCCGCGGCGCGCUGGUCGGGGCGGUGGACCAGGACCUCGGCACGGCGGGGUACGACGCCGACGAGGCCACCAGGCUGCUGCUCCUCGGCCUGGCGUGCAGCAGCCCCAACCCCGGGGACAGGCCCACCAUGCCGGAGGUGCUGCAGAUCGUGUCCAAGAAGGCGCCGCCGCCUGAGGUGCCGCUGUUCAAGCCGAGCUUCGUGUGGCCGCCGGAAGGGGGAGCGGCGCAAUUCAGCCUGAGCGACAUCGAGAGCAGCGGUGGCAGCUUCACCGGCACAGGCAAUGGUUCAUCGACGCGCGCGACACAGGAGUCAUCCUACGACAGCUUCCGGCAGCCGCCCUCAGCACCAAACAACAGCCAGGAGUACUUCCCAGCGCUGUCCUCCGGCCGGUGA